CCUACGGGUGGCAGCAGUGAGGAAUAUUGGUCAAUGGGCGAGAGCCUGAACCCGCCAAGUCGCGUGAAGGAUGAAGGAUCUAUGGUUUGUAAACUUCUUUUAUAUGGGAAUAAAGUGAGGAACGUGUUCCUUUUUGUAUGUACCAUAUGAAUAAGCAUCGGCUAACUCCGUGCCAGCAGCCGCGGUAAUACGGAGGAUGCGAGCGUUAUCCGGAUUUAUUGGGUUUAAAGGGUGCGUAGGCGGACAGUCAAGUCAGCGGUAAAAAUGCGGUGCUCAACGCCGUACAGCCGUUGAAACUGGCAGUCUUGAGUGGGCGAGAAGUAUGCGGAAUGCGUGGUGUAGCGGUGAAAUGCAUAGAUAUCACGCAGAACUCCGAUUGCGAAGGCAGCAUACCGGCGCCCGACUGACGCUGAGGCACGAAAGCGUGGGUAUCGAACAGGAUUAGAUACCCCAGUAGUC
rnacentral:rRNA from 1 species